UAGCUAAGUAAAUAAAGUCUUGUUAAAAUAGGCCCAAUAGGGUACUAAAAACUAUUAAAAAUAUAAUCAUACUAAAUAAAAAUCAAUAAAAACUCAAAAUAUUUUCAAAUUGGACCUCUACAUGAGCUCCAUGUAAAAUUUUGAAUUUUCUAUUUUUUCUCUUGAUCUUCAUCACAUACCAUAGACACUACAGUACACGACCACAACAAGUCUUAGAUGAGAACCUAUACUACCAAAGUCUAACUUUGCACAUCCCACUAAUGAAGAGAGACAAUUUUUUUUGUGAUUGCACAUAUAUUCUCCCCAUAUUGCUCUAACAAACCUAAAGGAAGGAGAGAACAACAAGGGAGAAGAAUGUGCCAAUACAAAUCAUGAAAACCACGCACACAGCUUGCGAUGGAAAGGCAACAAAUAUCUUGAACACCCCUCAAGGAUAGGAAGCUACACCUCCAAAACCACAACACAUCCUUGAACAACUCCUCUAUCUGAAACAAAACAUAAAUAAACAUAGAAAACACCAAAAUUAAUUUAGAUUUAAGUUUUCAAGCAUUAUCAAUAUUCAAGUCCAUCCCAUUCCCACCACGGAUUGAGUUCGUGCUAGGCCAAAACAAACCCUUUGGAAGCCGUGUGAGCCUUGAUCAAAGAACUCUACUCCCCUAAUUUCAUUGAUCCCAAGCUGAUUUGGGUCCCUAAUUGAAAGUCCAAGGGUUUUCUUAUUUCCUAAAUCGACUAAGGUAACAUUGAGGUAAUUCUAGUUUCUUUGUUACUCAUCUCAUGUGCCACUCACAUGAUGUGGCAGUUUAUUUACCCCGAAUUAACUGAUUGUUAAGAGAUUUAAAUAAUAUUUUGGGUCAAGUUCACUUUUAUCCUUUUGAGUUAGAUCCAAGUUUCACUUUAGUUAUUAUAAUUUUAAUUUGAACCAAGUAAACCUUACAAUUUUACAUUAGUUGCAAUGUUAACCAUGUGCUUAACGGUGUUAAAUUUUGGGAUAAACAUGUGAAACUAUAAGGACUAAAGUCAAACUUGAGUCAAACUCAAAGGGGUAAAAGGGAAAUUAAUCUUUCUUUUUAUUUUUAAGAAUAUUUUAACUUAUAAUUUUUUUUUUUACUUUUUGCUCCCUAAUUUUGACAAAAAAUUUACAUAUUAAAUGCACUCUCUCAUGUAGAAUAUAUUAGCAUAUUUAAAAAUUUACAUAUUAAACUAGGUGAUUUUCAUUUCAUAAAAUAAAAUUUCCUCUACUACAGAUUUUGCAUCUUAUGGCAUUUGGGUAAUUUAGGAAUUCUAUAUUUAAUUUUCCUAUUAGUAUCUGUCUUUCUAUCUUUAUUUUGCAUUUUUGUUGCCAUUAGUAUCGUUUUGUUAAGAAUAUUACAAUUUUAGUUCAUUUACACCAUACAUCUAUAUUCUUAGCUACAUUUCUGGAUAAAUCUUUUGGGUACGUAUCACUUAGACUUCGUUUGGAGACGUACAUUUAGUAUUUUAAAUUCUUAUCCCAAAUCCAUCGAGUAUGAAGAAAUCAAGAAAAUUUUCUUGAAUUUUAAAGAAAAAAUUAAGAGAUUUUAAUAACUCCAAAAUAGAUAAUAUUUGACAAAUUCCUCCACCUCUCCAAUCAUCUCAACUUCUCCUCAAACACUUCACAUUCAUUUUUUCUCUCUCUCUUCUCUCUCUUUCUAAAAUAGGUGUUAAUUGAAAUCUAUGUAAAUAAUAUUUUUUUUAAAAAAAUAUAUUCAAAUGGAGGAUAUGAAAUUCACGUAUCCAAAUAGAAUCUUAAUGAUUUUAGUUUAUCUACACCAUACACUCCAUGAUUCCACUCAUUGGACGGCUUAGCGCAAAAAUAUGAUCCCUGAUCUCUCAAUCCUGCUACCCUUACCCCCAUCAAUAGAUUUCUUAUAGUAUUAUUUCCCAGUUAGGUUUUCUGUAUUAAUUCUAGCACUUGAAUAAGAUUAUCUUAUAACUAGAUUACUCGAAAUAUGAUUACCAAUAAUGAGAUUCUCAUUUCCCCUCGCAAUAACGGUCAUCUAAACACAGCCUUAGUAUAAGCUACUUAGAAUUAUUGCACUUGGAAAUUGAUGCCGGCAAAAUUAGGAGUUAUUUUUUCUUUGCUCUUUAUAUUUUCGAUUGGCAACAAAAACACCUUUUCCUUUUUUCCUAACGUUUUUGAGGACUAAAUAAAACUUUAGGUAAAGAUUAUCAUUGGGUAUCUCCGCCUAUGUAAAGCUUUAGGUAAAGUUGGUCCAUAUAAAUUAUGGUUCCGCCCCUAAAUAAAAUUUUAGGUAAAAUUGUCCCACAUAAACGUUCUAUGUGGGACAACUUGAAGCUUAUCAUUGGGUAUCUCCGCCUAGACAAGUUCAUUGAUCGAGCUCUAGCGUGAAAAUGCUGACUGAACUUGCUAUGAAGCGGUAGUUUAGCAACAAUACUUAUCCAAACUCACCCAAAAAUGAAGGAGAAUAUUUUACCUUCCUACAAUUGCCCCUCAGCUCCCAUGAACUCAGUUAGCAACUAUAAAAAUUAUGUGAGUUGGAUGCCAAAGAGCUAUGGUAUGAGAUAGUUUGGAUACACGAGCUCGACAUCCCCAUGUGUUUUUGACAUAAGAAUGUCAAAAACAUAAACUAUUCCGCUGAUUGGAUACCAUUUUCUUCACUUCCCACUAUUUUGACAUCCCCAUGUUUUUUAUUUUUCGUUUUCAAUUUAGUGAUUUUUUUUAUCAAUACAGACUGAAAAAAACGAACAAUUUAAUUUAAAUUAAAAAAUGCUAAAGUAAAAAAAUAUAUAUUUUUACUCGAACAAAUUAGCUAAAUUGCCUCCCAAGUCAAACAUCUAAAAUUAGAGAUGUUAAAUACAAAAAAAAAUAGCUGACGGACCCAAAGAAAUGCACGUGUAAUCUUUGCAAAUUGCCAACAGCACCGCCAAGAGCAACCUACAAUAAUGCGAGCAAAAAAAAAUGAAAUUUCAUUGAGCAGGAUCAAAUACAUUAUUGGAGAAUGCACCAGAAUUAUAAGGAGCACAAGUCUCAAAGGCAUAAAUCAUAUAUAGUACACUAGUAAGGUUAUACAUUAUUGGAAACGAUGUUUUAAAAUCUGAAUCGUUAAGUGAAUUAGAAAAAUGAUCGAGUCAUAGGUUAUCGGUUUAAUCGUCGGAUUAAUCGUUAUUGAAUCGUUAUCAAAUCGUAACGUCAUAAAUAUUAUAUUAUAUAUACAUUAUAUUUUAAAAAUUAAAUCAAGCACCCAAAUGUAUAAGAAAAAAUUCUAAAUAUUAUCGUAGUUAACUUGAAAAUUGAAUCAUGCACUCAAAUUGCAAAAAUCUUUUUUAGUGUAGGUUGAGAGGUGGAAUUUUGGAAGAGGUCUCCCUCAGCUAUGAUAUCCUUACCCUAGCUAUGAUAUCCAUCAUAUCCCUAGGCUAUGAUAUCCCUAGGACCCUAACCCUAGCUACUACUCAGGUUUUGUAAGGGCAACACUCCAGUCCAGCCAUUAAUGGCGCCAUCAGCCAUGGACUCUCUCUCUCCCUCUCCUCCUCUGACGAAGUUGCCCACUGUCGAGCAAGCCUCCGACUAGGCUCCUUUUCACAGUCACAACUCUCCUCUCUUUUUCCCCUCUCUCAUUUCUGAAUUUAAGAACUGCGACAAAAAAACACUAGACUUGUGCUGUGUGUGUGCACGUGUUCCUCUCUCCUUCUCUUCAAUCUAAAACAAUAAAUCGGGCGGAUUAAUGACCGGUUCAAUCGCCGGUUACUGGUUCAAUUGCGAUUCUGAUUGGGUUUGACCGGAUUUUGACGAAACAGAUUUAGAUGGGUGAUCGGACCGUUUUUUCGACCGAUCAACAGUUGGACCGGUCGAACAAGCCGGUCCAGUCCAGUUUUUAAAACAUUGAUUGGAAAAGGUCACAAGAUGCAAAUCAGCCAAGUUUCUCCAGUUUUGGAUCCUCAAAUUAACAUUCAAACCCAUUAGAUCUGAUCAUCUUGUGGCUAUGACUAAAUUACUGAAAUUUUCAUCUAGAUCGGAUAUCAUUCCAGUGUUGAUUUUACAUCCCAUUUCUCAUGAUGACAGGCAGAACACACCAUAUAAUUUCUCUCCUUUCCUCCGGAAGUUAGGCAAAAUGGCUCAUCUCUUUCCUUACUCUAUCCCUGCUCACUUUUUAUUCUAAUCUCUGCAACAUCUCAGCUCCCUCUUGGCUCUCUCUCUCUGACAUCUUUCCCAAUGUGGCCAAAGCUAAAAAUAAUAAUUUCAUAUCCAAGUCAAACAUGCAAAAUUAGAGAAGCUAAAUAUAAAAAAAUAGAUAACAAACCCAAAUCUUUGCAAAUUGCACGUAAUCUUUGCAAAUUGCCAACCGCACCGCCAAGAGCAGCCUAUAAUAAUUAGAGCUGUUAAAUGGGCUGGGCUGUCUGCGGGCAGCCCGAGUCCGGCCCGAUUCUGUACAACCCGAAUCGAUUUGAGCCCGAACAAUUUCAAGUCCGAGCCCGCUAAUUAAUGAGCUCAAUUUUUUAUAAAAUCAAACCCCAAAGUCUGAAUGGACCCAAACCCUAAUGAGCCCGAACCCGAAUCCCAACAGUAAAAAAGCAUUUUAACGAGCCUUAUGGCCCAAAAAUAACUCACCUCAUUUUAUUGAGGGGGGGAAAACUUGUUGAAAAGCUUUUGAUUUUCAGAUUUUCAGAAUCUCGCCAUUUCUCAUUUCAUUCAAUUCUCUUUUCCUCUCUCUAAAUAAUAGGAUAGGUUUUUUAUAGGUUUUUUAUCUAAGGGCCUGUUUGGCUAGAAAAUAUGGGAGGGGGAUAAUUUUUAGAAGGAAGAUAAAUUUUAGAGGGGGAUAAGUUUUGGAGGGAAUAACUUUUAACUUUAGGGCCCGUUUGGCUGGAGAUAGGGGAGGGGGAUAACUUUUAGAGGGAGUGAGGGAGUUAUAAAUUGUAGAGUGGGGAUGAACUUUUGAAGGGGGAAACUUUUAACGUUGUUUGGAUACUUUUUAGAAUGGUGGGAUAAGCGGUGGAGGAUAAGGAAGAAAAAGACAAAGAAAAAA
rnacentral:lncRNA from 1 species